GGAAUGUAGUGAAUGGUUAGAUAUUGGCAUUACCCAACCCUAAAAUGGUUCACCACGUCACGGAUACAUACACCUCACUUUUCCCUACACUUGUUUAAAACUCCUCACAACACUACGCUGCUCGCUGGGUCCUCUCUUUUCUCUCUUUCCACCAACCCAACCUUUCCCAAAUUUGCAUCUUUUCAUUUGCUAAACCCUAAACAAAACCAAUCUAUUUUUUAGUUUCAAAUAUUUUUAAAAAAUUCAACCAAAUAAACACUUUUAUUGUGAUAACUGAUAAGAAACAUGAAACUAUCCUUUCAAAUUUUCUCACCAACCAACGACUCCAACAAAAAGGGAAUCUCAUCACACCUUUUUGGAUCUGCCCCAAAGGGAAUCGUCAUCGUCCAAGGAAUCCAAUCCCAUCUGCAUUUUAAAUUAUCACCGUCGGAUUCUAUUUCUUGUUUGUCCUCAUCCCAACCCAUUUGGCACCUCCAUUCAUCCGUCUACGCUUCCGACGUGGCUAUUUGCUUUCUUCUUCUCCUCCGCCCAACCACACCUCACAAUUGAGAUGUUAACAAUGGCGUUCCAUGGCUCUGUUAUUUCUGUCUUUUCUAUUUCCUUUCCAUCGUCGGCCUCCGCGUCUCCGCCAUCGCCGUCAUCACUGUAUACCGGUUUUUGUUUCGCUACAACACCAACUACCGUUCCAAUUCACUGCUCCCAGAGUUUAAUUGCACGUAUUGCUCCUUGAAGAGGAAAAGACGACUCGCCAUUCUCCUCUUCAUUUUCCAAUUGAACAGUAGAGCUGAAACUGGUAUAUAAUUCUCUCAUAAGCAGUAGCAAGUGAAAGAACAUCUAUGGAGUUCAUCAGCAUUUGAAGAAAGUGCCUAGGUAUUAGUAAGACUGUCAAACUUUUUGGAAUGAAAUGAGAUGUGUUUCUGUUCAAUCAUUUGUGGCUAGUCUAAUUUCAAAGGAACUUUUUUUGACUUCCAUAGACCUAAACAAGCACAAAUCUCCAUUUAGUUAUCUAUGUGAUGAAAACCCAGUUGGGAUCUCACUCAAAAGUUUUCUAUGACCCAGUCUCUCUGGGGCCAUUGCAAGGAUUCAAUAAUGAAGAAUCCAACGUGAGAGAAAAGGAAGUGUGGGCAGGGGACCCUUCGUUGCUGUGGACCAGAUUAAGACCCUUUGUUGAUGGAGAGAAGACUCUGGUAACAUGCUUCUUGGAUUAUUGCAGGUGAGGGAGUUAGAGAAGAUUCUGGUAAGAUGCCACAUUUGAAAAUUGAAUUAUUGAAGAUAGAGAGAGUUGGGGGUAUGAACAAUUGUAUGUAAUCAAAAAGUUAUCGUGUGAGCUUAUAAUGCCUGAAGCCUAGGAUUUAUAAUUCAAAUUCAACACUCGAUGUCUAUGACAUUCUUCAACAUUGCUUGUAAAAAUAUUAUUUUUACCUGUGUUGAUGCUUUUAAGAAUUAAGAUUAUUCCCUUAAAA